rnacentral:misc_RNA from 1 species
GUGAAUCAUCAAAUUUUUGAACGCAAAUUGCGCCUUUUUCGGAAGGCAUGUCUGUUUGAGGGCACCAUUUAACAAAUAGUGUGCAGCGUUUCUUGUUGCACACGUUGAUGAGCCUUCAUAGAAUUUUAAAUUUUUGGUGGCGCAUAAUGAACAGCGUGAAAGUUUUUUUUUCAGUUCGAGUGUAGUAAAAUCUUUGCUUGUGUUGUUAAAAGCGUUAUCGCGCAAUGGGUGUGGCAAUUUUUUAUUAUCUCUGCCUCAAUGC